AGGCCUUGUCUACAAACAAAUACAUCCAGUGUGGCUGGGAGCACAGCCAAAGUGCUGUGGGAAAGCAAAGGAGUUUGAACUAUGUGCUGGUUUCUUAAAUGCAGUUCAAGAAAAAUUACUUGGAAGAUUAAGGGAGUGCCUUGUAGAGGGUGUAAUUUCACCCACCCCUGCAGUGACAUAUCCCAUCCUUCAGGAGAGCAGAGGUGAACCUCCUCGUCCAGCAGCAGCACAAUUUUAGGUUAAUGGUCUGAUAUACGAAUGCUGAAAGCUCUCUUUGAGUUUCAUCUUGUGAAAUGCUGCAGCAUCCAGAGCAAGUUCUGAAGAGUCUGAAGGAGACCACCUCCUUUUCAGAAGUGAGCCACCAGCUCUGCAGUGGUGUCUUUCCACAGAGGCUGAUGAAGGUGGUGUCACCACUGAACAAAAACACAAACUGCACCCAGCUGGGGAAGAACAGCAAAUCUUGAAAUCUGACCAACUCACGCCUGAGGCCGCUGCCUCUUUCUUUCUUCCAGCACUGACUUCCAUGAGCUGCAAAGAAACAUUCAUUCCUUACUUUGCAAGUGGUGUUUGAAACAUCCUCCAAACACUAGUUUCAUUUCACGUCCACAACACUAGAAAUAAUUGGAACACAAUGCUUCCUUCUUCACAAUAUGUUGGGUUUUUUUUUUUCCUAGACUGCCAUAUACAAAUGUCUCUUCA